UACGUAGGGUGCAAGCGUUAAUCGGAAUUACUGGGCGUAAAGCGUGCGCAGGCGGUUCGUUAAGACAGAUGUGAAAUCCCCGGGCUUAACCUGGGAACUGCAUUUGAUACUGGCGUGCUUGAGGACUGGAGAGGAGACUGGAAUUCAUGGUGUAGCAGUGAAAUGCGUAGAGAUCAUGAGGAAGACCAGUGGCGAAGGCGGGUCUCUGGACAGUUCCUGACACUGAGGCACGAAGGCCAGGGGAGCAAACGGG
rnacentral:rRNA from 1 species